AAAUUAAGGGAUAGGUAGGUCGCGGGGUCUGGGGAAGGUGUAUCGCAGUCCAGCGGUGUUCUCUGGAGCUCUGCUUGGCCCACCUCCACCGUCCAGGGUCCAGGAACGGAGUGAGCACUGGCCCAUCCAGAUCUCCGGUCUCCAGGCGCCUCCCUUGGCCCCGACUUGUAGGCGUGACAGUUGCUGAAGUCUCAAUGGGGGUUGGAACUUCCAGAUCAAAGCUGGAAUGGCUACCCACUACAGUGGUUAGACGUGAAAGAGCAGAUAAAGAAGACAGAACACGUCCUGUAAGAGGAACAGGUAUUAUCUGGAUUGCUGAGGCUGGCCCCAUGUGUGACCGAAGUGUCUGAGAGAAGAUAACCAAGGAAAAGCGGGCAAGCAUACACACGAAAAGGACACUUCCUUUAUUCGCCAUGACUUUCUCCUUCUUUUCUCUAAAGUGAUCAGGUAGUCUCUAAUUCAUCUUAGUGUAUCACCGACAAACCUUUCUCUACUAGGACGGGAAGUUUUGGCUAAGUAGCAACAGGCCUUUGAGUCUGAUGUGGAAUUUACAUUUCCAAGUGAGAAGAGCCUGCUGGACAUGAAGAUGAGGAGUGGCCAACACAGCAAGCCUCAAACAAACCCAGCACAGGAGGGUGUGCAUUGUGCUUCAACAGAGGGGGCAUUGGUGGAGUCACAGGGGAACCACGGGAAUUGUGUGUUUCUAUCACACAGAGCAAAGGCAGCUGUCACUGCUUUAGCAAAGGAAAGCUUUGAAGAGGAGGGAGGACUGUCUGAGCCAUUUGAGAGAAACAGAGAGAACCAGUUUGAACUGGAUCCUCUGGCUCGUCUCUAGAGCAGAGUCCAGAUUGGGAAGGAUUCAUGAUUAACUAUCUGAUAAGAUUAGAUGAGUGCGAGCUUCCACUCUCAGACCUGCACUUAGCUGACGGAAGGAAGAAACAGCUGUACAUGUGAGCACGAGUGACAAAGUGACAAGGUGCUGCUGGUUCAACGCCGGGUGGAUCAUUCCUCUGAUUUCCCAGUUUAACCCGUCCCUCUACACCUCGUGCUACAGCAGACAGCGCCGUCUUUCCAAAGAGUCAAGUUCAUGUUGCACUUUCCCCUUUCCGAGCAUCAGCUCCCCUCCUCAUGCAAAGAUAUAAUUCUUUAUGAACUGGAAACCUGCCCAUUGAGCAUUACCCUUGUAGACCCAUUUGAUGUAGUGCUUCCAUGAACUGAUGCUUAAUAAAUAUUUGAUAGAGUG